CAGGAAUGAGGAGCUUUCUUAUUUUUUUCUCAUAUAGUUUAAUUUACAAAUGCGCGGAAACAUAUAUAACAUUGCUGUUUUCAACAUUUUUAUCGAGUGGAACCACUACCAACCAACAGUAUAAAUGAAUAAUUCAAUCAAGGUGACAAUCAGAACUGAUUUGUGCGUAAGGCAAUUGCUAAAAGCACAGGCGUAACUUGCUCUCGCAGAGAGUAUUUGUACAAAAUAUUAUGAAAAUACGAGAAAUGACGUUUCCUGUGAGUCAUCAGUGACAAAUUAUUAAUGCGCACCGAAUUAAAUCAUAUACCAAAAUAUUAAUAUACAAUUACUUUAUGGUUUCCGUGUUUGGAUGGGCUGAUCCAAAAACGCGGCAAUGUUGCGAGAGUGAAGAAAAGCGCGCGAAACACGAGCCGAAGGCGAGUAUUAAUAUAACAAAUUUUAUAAUAUAACAAACUUUCCGUGUUAAAAUUUCACUUUAAAAAUUUCACUUUAAAUUUCCGUGUUUGGAUGGCCUGAUCCAAACACAGGUUUCGACCAAUCAGAGCACGCGUUAUAUUCAUGUUAUUUUAUAAAUCCAGUUCGAUCACGUUUAGAGACAGAGAGUGCAUAGAAAAAUGUUCUUAUUUAUAUUCCCAUGAAGGUGACCACCGCCUCUUAUCAGCUGAUUUUCAGUUGAACAUUUUCUCAAAAUUUUUUUUUGUUAUUUUGAGCACCUAAGCUAUUGUACAUUAAGACUACAUGGCUGAUUUUCUCAGACGAAAUUUUCUGUUAGCGAAAAAAGCUCUCAAAGUUACCUUGUCCGAAAAUUUACCCAAUAGCAAUGCCCUGGAAAAGCAUUUUUAUUAUUAUUCAGAUAAAUUACGAAAAUAUUUUGGGUGAUUUAUCCCCGAGCAAGCGCCGUUCCGGGCGUAAGCCGUGGGCGAGGGUACUAAUUCCACCCGGCCAAUUACACCCGAGGAAAGGAACGCACUAGCGAAGUCUAAAGUUAAUCAAAUAUCGCCGCGCAUGGUGUAUGGGUGUUCAUCUCACUGAUCUCAAAAUUUGGCUGUUUGCCAGGAGUGCAGAAGGCAACAAAUUAAAAAAAAACAUGUAAAAAAGCUCGGAAAAUCGUUUCACAUAACAAAUUGUAAAACUAUUUUUCAAUAUUUAGACGAUUUAGUAUCAGAAAUCCUAAAGUAUAAGGCAAGUUUAUUUCGAUUGUUCAUGUAUGACCUUGUAUUAUUAUAGACUUUUUUUUUGUUGCUCAAGUCUUUCCUAUGC
rnacentral:lncRNA from 1 species